CAGAACUGUUCCUCUGUUCGUGUUCGAGAAUGUAGCCUACACGAUAGUUGUUACAACUUGUUAUGCAGUUGUUACGGGAUACACUCUUGUCGGACAUUUUUCGUACAUAAAAUAGUACAAUUUAUAUUUGGCAAUUCCAUCUGAUUAAGUGGCCUGAAAACUGAUUGAUACAUUUUCCCAAAAUGUCAUCAGAUGGAGAAAUACUUCAGAACAGUAAAACCUGUUGAAGUCUGAGCUUCUUCAUUGCAGUCCGAUGACAUGGAUUUGCUGCAGCCAGCUGGCGGAAGGUGUUCCUCUUUCAAGCUUGCUAUCUGUGGCGGUUGUAACUUUCAUUACAUGCAGAAACACUACAGAACAAUUUAAAGUAUGUUUAUCCUGUAUUGUUCCCGUAGUUGCUGUCCGAUGUGGCUCGUUGCAGCCUAUGCUGGUGAAAAUCAUUUUUGCAUCUUGUUAAAC